AUUAACAGCACAGGAAAAGUUAGGAUAGCAGCAGUGCAAGCUUCCCCCACACUUCUCUAUCAGUGUGCCUAGAAUUCUGACCUGGAGGGGACCAAUGAAAGU
ensembl:misc_RNA